CCUUUUAGCUUUGUGGACUCUGCCUGGCCCGGGCAGGAGUGUUGGUUUUUAUACCACUAGCACAGGAGCUUUGGACCGCCGGGAGGAGGAGGUUUUCUGGUCCGGGCUCCGAUCUCCUAGUCUGGGAAGAGUCAGCUAGCUAAUGGGACCGCUGGCUGCACAGCUAACUGAACUAACAGCAGCUAUGGUUAGCAGUAGUUAGCGGCUACUUUAGCAAAAAGUAAAGCCAUCUGUCCUGCAAGAAACUAAUGUUAACUUUCCUUCACAACCUCCAAAAACUUGAAGUGUAGUCCUGAGCAGAGUAGUCUCACGUAGCCGGACCUAUCUCCACACUUAGUGCUAUGAGAAGAGCGGUCUAAUACUGAGCGGGUGGAUGGGACUCUGUAUUUUGAGGGCAUACUGUGCGGGUGGUGAGUUGUGACAUCACAACCUUACAGAAGUCCUGAUGGCUUGUUUAAAAGAACAGUUUCUGAAUACAGGCCGUGUGCAUUUCUCGUGCAUUGCCGUGUGGAUUGAAUGUUUGAUGAUACUUUCAAAGAAUUUAUAUAGCACCUAGACCUGCUUUAUAAUCAAAAAAGACAUGGAAAUCUCACUUUCUACAAUAUGGGAACUUUAAUACCCCCUGCUUUAUCCAGCACCUGUUAAAAAUGUUGGAUUUGCGUCAUUCAUUUUCAAUAGUAAACCAAGUUUGAAAGGACCAAAUUCAAAGGCAAUUCAACACCUCAUGGAGGCUUAAAGUAAGAAAGAUGAUUCAUACAAGAAAUUGCAGCAGAGCUGUUAGAGUUAGGACGUGUGGUUACAAUAGGUGUGCUAGUGGAUUUAUUGGACUCUGUAUCCAAGAUUUUAAGUGAUCCAGUCUAUAAAACGUGCACUGCUAAUUGUCCCUUAAGAGGCAUUCUUUGCCAAUUCAUCUCUAUUGCUCAUGCAUAAGAUCCAAGACAAGAAUUAAUGCUGUUUACUGCUUCUCCCUGUGAAUCACAGUCCUACAGUUUUAUCCACUAUUUACUCUAAUUCUGUUUCAGAGUGAAAAACAAUCCAUAAUCUCUUCUCCUCCAUUUCUGCUUGCUUACAGAGUGCUAUAAUUAUUUUAGGUUCAUAGAAACACUUUAUUAGCUCUCUUCACACACUCAGUUGACAAGGGUGACAAAGAGUAUGGAAAUUUGAGCCAAAAUACAUAUAAUUGCUCACCUCGCCUCAUGCAAUCUUGAGAGAUAAACAAAAGAUAGAUCCAACUAUUCUGCUACUUCCAUCCUACUGUUCUAUUAUCCUACUUUCUUUCUGCUCCAGGAUCCAUCUUUGUAAAAACUUCUUAUCCCUGCGUUUUGAUCUUGAUCACACACAAAACAAACACAGCCCCCUGAUGACAUCAUCACACUAUGAACCCAUUCAUCAGGAUGACAGACAGCUGUCACCAGGAUGCCCAUCAGUUGAUGCUGGUGUGGUCACAGUGUCUCACCAAGCUGAACCAAAACACAGUGAUUGUCUAAGGUCACCACAGUCUUUUAACUAUCUCCAGUGCCAGCCAGUUUUCAUUCCCACUACUGGAGUAAGUCCCCAAGAUUAGGGCAACAGCAAAAUAUAAAGAAAGGGAAAUAAAUUGGAUACAGUUGGGAAUCAGUUUGACAAGUAGCGGCGAUUACAAGCCCAUUUUGUUUUUAGGUAUUGCGUUAAACAAAAUGGAAAAUAAGAGCAAAACACAACAAUGCUUCUCUACAUCCUAAUCUAAAAUUAAGACAACAUUUCAGCCACAGCAUGCCUUCCUCAGGUACUGGCUCUUGCUAUGUUUUUACUGAACAUUUCAACAAAGAUUUAACAAUAUAAUUGGCACAUACAAAUAAUUCUGGUGCCAGAAUGACAACAAAUGUGUAGCAGUGUCAUGGUUUUGGUUCUUUGUCUUGUUAUUUCCUGUUUUAUUUUGUAAUAUUCUCCAUCCCUUUUGUGUCUGGUAGUUUUGCUUCCUGUCUUUGAUUGCUUUCAUUGUUUUCACCUGUGUCUCGUUGUCUCCUCUACCUGCGUGUAUUUAAGUCUGUGUCCUUCUUUUGUUCUGUUGUCAGUCCGUCGUUGCACCUCUGUUAAGUGCCCUGGUUUGUUGUUUCCCUGUACUUUGCAUGUUUUUGGCUUUUGUUUCUUCUGUUUGAGUCUGCUCACCUGCUGUGAGCUACCUGCCUUCUCCAAUGUAAGCUUUUUGUUAAUAGUCAUCUGCACAAGCUCUGCCUGUUAGUCUGUGUUUGGGUCCCGUUCCCUCGUAUUCCCUGUUUCCCAGCUUGACUAAUUACAAUGAGCAGUCAAAAUGGCUCAUUAAAUAAUGUGAAGGAAUCUGAAGAGAAAUGCUCAAUAAAGCUCACUAGAAACCACCAAAGUCUAAUCAUCUGUUAUUUGGUGCUUUCACAGCCAAGCUGUACUGAAUAGAUGAGUUGUAUCUGUGCUGGGUGAAAGGUCACAAGGUCAACAAAAUCAAUAGGUUUCGUGCUGUUGGGAGAAAAUAUUGUGUUUGUGACAAAGGCCAGAAGAUAUGUUCAUCUGAAAAGUGAAAAAUUGGACUGAGGGUGGUACUACAAGAAAGAUUUUUUUUUUUUUUUUUUUUUUUUUUUGCUGAGAACCUGAAUGUAUUCAGCAAAUUCCAUAUUGCUAAAAGUAUAUCAUGUAAUGGACAGUCAGACAGUGGAUGUUGAUCUUACCGGAGGUACAACAGGUUAAAUGGUGGAGUUAAUCCUUAAUAUUGAAUUCCUUCAUUCAGUCGUUGCAUUUGUAUAAAGACUUCACUUGGUAAUUUAGUCUUUUAAGUCUUGCUGUUUUCCACAUAUAUGCACUCCACGCUGGGAUGUGAAAGUCUUAUUUUACUGAGGGGAUGUAGGAAAAACACUGGUCUGUGGUCUCUGAAGUAGCCACUCUGGGUGCUUUUGAAAAUAUUUACUGUUCACUGUUAUCCUGUAAGGGGAUGUAAUCCUGUAAAAGGGCUUUUACACUAACAAUAGCAAAGUGGCAAAAAAACCCCACAGGCUUCCCCAUUCAUUUCAAUGAGGAUGAAUUGGUGCAGCAAUGGGUCCCAUUGCAGAUGUUUCUGCAUUGGCCAAAAGUAUUUGAAAGCACAAAUACAUGGUAGAACAUUUUAGUGGGUACCUUGUAGCAGUGUGGUAAUAUGUGUGAGGAAGAGGGCAAGCUACAGCACAUUAUGUCUUUUGUAAAUAGUCUAGAUAGCCUUACAGCCGACAUGAAUAAUGUGCUAAAUCCGGUGUUAACAUCAUAGACAGCAGCUGAAUCAUUCAGUUACAGGAUGCACUGCUUUCAUUUGAAUCAUGUUGUCACCUUGAAUAUCUUCUGCUUUGCUUAUGAUCUUUUGGCAUUAAAGGCCUGAUAUAGUGGUCUUCAAAUUCUCCAUUUUCUUUGCAGUCAAAUGUGGUGCCAAUAAAAAUCUACUUUCUAUCAAUGUAUGUAAGGAUCAAAGUUGAAUUUAAGUUUAAACUUUGGGAGCAAUACCACACAGGAUAUCAAGGCCUCUUUUGCUCACACAGUUGUUUAGCCAUGUUCUCCAUUGAAAACAAUGGCUGUCUCAUGCCCUGCUUGCGUGCUUGGUGCGAAAGGUUUAGGACGGCUAAUGUACCGUUCUGUCCAAUUUUCUGUGGUUGAAGUUUGAGUUUGUGUGGGUGGCAAACUAUUCAUCGUCUGUUUAGCCAUGAUGACUAUUACUGCUUGUGCUAGCUGGACAGUUCUUUUACUAAUUAUAAAUCAACUAGAUCACCAUCUCAACAAGGUAAAAGAAAUUCAAGAUUUAUUCAGUUAUAGUAGAAAAGAGCAGAGGUACAGUGUGAUGUAAUUUCAAAUGAAUAACAACAGGGAUCUUGUUUGUAGCUAGCCACGUUAGCCACGUUUGGUUUGUAACCAAAUGAACUUCUUUAACCAACUAGCCAAACAGUGAUUGUAUACUGAUUAAUUUUAAAAACACUGCUAUGCUAAAAUUCUGAUUCAGAAGUGUUAGGUUAGCAUACAAUCUCUAAAAAGUAACAUUUGCUGCUAGCUGUGUAGGAGUCACGUUCAAUUAGUGUCAUGUCAGUUUUGAGAAAACUGUUAUUGUAUUGUAUGAAAUCCACAGUUCUGACUUAUAAUUGAAUCCAUCCAGGUACACCAUUUCCACAGGCAAGUGUUUUCCAUCUCAUGGCUGCCAGAUGAUUUCUAAAGGGGGCUGACACCUCUAACAACAUGUCAGCAGUGCCAACCCAGAUACCACUGGAAAGAGGCAGGAAGGACAUGCUUUCCAAUGGCUGCUUGUGGGGGCCUGUCAGGUAGUUAAGUCCUCAAUUCCAGUCUCCCUCCCUCCCCAGGCUGUGUUGACAUCUCCCUGGCUGGUCUCCCUCUGUGCCUAAACUGAGUGGAUGUCUGCCGUUGGUGGAUGCUUGCAGGCUGUGCGGCCCCAGAGCCCUCAUAAACAGGAGUCUAAUGGCGUCCCUUGGCUGCUGAGGGGCCUCACAUUAAGAUAAUUAAGCAGAGGGUGCAGGAAUGAGGCCCUGGAGAGGAGAAGGAGACACUUCUGCACUUUCUGAGAAUCUGAGCCUGUGACUUUCUGUUUUUGCCUUAUUGCUCACUGUAGACUGAUUUACGCAUUUAGUUUAUUCUUAUGGUAAGAACGAUGCAAGAGCUUGUGUGGCACCACAUAACUGCACCAAGAUGUCCGAAAACGUGGGAAAGCAAUGUGAUUUGUUGAUGGGAUAUCCAAACAAACUAAACCACUUUUAAUGCAAGGUGUUAUGAUGAGACAGAUGAUGAUGUCUGACAGCUAGCAGGCAAGGUGAAUUGUGCCAAAGAGUGCAGAGAAGUAUCUUAUGUGUAGCUAAAGUUACAAUAUGUGGACUGAAAUCUGAUUAGUUUAGUCUCUCAGUUUAGCAUUUAUUUCUCCACUGGCCAUUUGACAGGGCAUUAGGGUCUCAACAACAAAUUUUUUUCUGUGUUUGGUGGCAAUUUUGAAAGUUAUAGUUCAUUAAGAACAUAUUAAGACUUAAAGCAAAGCAUCUUUUGGGGCAUGUUUGUCUUGACUGACAGGUGUCUCAGAUAGAAACUCUCAUUCGGGGUGGUUGUGGCUAGCUUACUUCGCCUAAAGUCUCCACUUUGUUGCCCUAAUAUGAAUUUUCUUUGUACAAUCAACUGUCAAGAUGGCGGCAAGUGCUAAAGCCAAAUUCAGGCUUCCAAACGCCCUCUCAGAAACCUCACAGACAACACAGCUAUGUUUUUUUUAAAGGAAUAGUUCGACAUUUUGGGAAAUGGGUUUAUUUGCUUUCUUGCCAAGAGUUAGAUGAGAGGAAUGAUAUCACUCUCAUGUCUGUAUGUAAAAAUGAAGCUAGACUCCAGACUUCCAGACUUUAUGCUAAGCUAAGCUAACCGUCUGCUGGCUUCAUAUUUAGCGUACAGAUAUGGAAGGGGUUUCUAUCUUCUCAUCUAUCUCUUGGCAAGAAAGUGAAUAAGCAUAUUUACCAAAAUGUCAAGCUAUUCCUUUAAGUGUAUGUAUGAAAAUGGCCAAUAAAUUUGUUUCUACAUUGCUUGUGUGACUUUUGUGUGCGCGAUUUCUUUGUAAAUAGGCAGUGUGAACGAAGUAAAUCAAUAAAACAA